GUGGUUCAGUGGUAGAAUUCUCGCCUG
rnacentral:piRNA from 6 species